GACGAACGCUGGCGGCGUGCUUAACACAUGCAAGUCGAGCGGUAAGGCCCUUUCGGGGGUACACGAGCGGCGAACGGGUGAGUAACACGUGGGUGACCUGCCCUCAGCUCUGGGAUAAGCCUGGGAAACCGGGUCUAAUACUGGAUAUGACUCCAUGACGCAUGUUGUGGGGUGGAAAGCCUUGUGCGGCUGAGGAUGGGCCCGCGGCCUAUCAGCUUGUUGGUGGGGUGAUGGCCUACCAAGGCGACGACGGGUAGCCGGCCUGAGAGGGCGGACGGGACACACUGGGACUGAGACACGGCCCAGACUCCUACGGGAGGCGAGCAGUGGGGAAUUGUUCGCAAUGGGCGCAAGCCUGACGACGCAACGCCGCGUGGAGGAUGAAGACCU
rnacentral:rRNA from 1 species